rnacentral:rRNA from 1 species
GCGCGAAAACUUUACAAUGCUGGCAACAGCGAUAAGGGAACCUCGAGUGCCAGGUUACAAAUCUGGCUGUCGAGAUGCCUAAAAAGCAUUUCAUAGCAAGGGCCGGGCGAGACCGGUGCCAGCCGCCGCGGUAACACCGGCGGCUCGAGUGGUAACCGUUAUUAUUGGGUCUAAAGGGUCUGUAGCCGGCCGGAUAAGUCUCUUGAGAAAUCUGGCAGCUUAACCGUCAGGCUUUCAGGAGAUACUGUCUGGCUCGAGGCCGGGAGAGGUGAGAGGUACUUCAGGGGUAGGGGUGAAAUCUUGUAAUCCUUGAAGGACCACCAGUGGCGAAGGCGUCUCACCAGAACGGACCUGACGGCAAGGGACGAAAGCUAGGGGCACGAACCG